UGCCGCUUUAUGAAUUACUCUGCUUGAAUAACACGCCUUGUCGCUCGUCAGCUUGAUGGGACACACUGUGUCUUUUUUUCUCUCUAUAUAUACCUUUUCCUUUUUUCCCUGUUUGGUUUUUUCUUCCGGGUGAAAUAUUGUACUCCCUCCGUUCCCAAAUAUUUGUCUUUCUAGGCAUUUCAAAUGGACUCAACAUACGGAUGUAUGUAGACAUAUUUUAAAGUGUAGAUUCACUCAUUUUGCGCCAUAUGUAGUCACUUGUUGAAAUCUCUAGAAAGACAAGUAUUUAGAAACGGAGGGAGUAUUACUCAACUUGAAUCCAAGGCUGUGGAUUCUCUGGCUUGGUGUGGCAAAGGCAGAUGUGAACAGUAACCUCUACCUUUGAUCAGUUUCACCCGUCGGAUUGGUAACCAAUGUCCCAGAUUGGAUGCUACAAGGGGUCCCCAACAGUACUUGCUACAGUACAAACAAACAAUGAUUUCAUGUGAACAGUCUCGGGACAGUACUUGCAGUGAUCUCAGCCUUCCAUUCUUGAUCAUGUGGCAAAGUCACCGGUGCCUUCACCACAGCAAGGUAGAGAAUCCACG
rnacentral:lncRNA from 1 species